rnacentral:rRNA from 1 species
AUUGAACGCUGGCGGCAGGCCUAACACAUGCACGUCGAACGAGUGGCGGACGGGUGUGUUAUGUCUGGGAAACUGCCAGAUGGAGGGGGAUAACAACUGGAAACGGUAGCUAAGAGCGUAAACCAUAAGAUGGGCACAGAUGUGUGGAGCUAGUUGGUGGGGUAAAGGCUCACCUAGGAGACGAUCCCUAGAUGGUCUGAGAGGAUGACCAGCCACACUGGAACUGAGACACGGUCCAGACUCCUACGGGAGGCAGCAGUGGUGAAUAUUGCACAAUGGGCGCAAGCCUGAUGCAGCCAUGCCGCGUGUAUGAAGAAGGCCUUCGGGUUGUAAAGUACUUUCAGCGGGGAGGCGUUACCCGCAGAAGAAGCACCGGCUAACUCCGUGCCAGCAGCCGCGGUAAUAC